rnacentral:tRNA from 1 species
CAGAUUAUAGCUUAUUUUAAAGCUUUUUAGUUACAUUAAUAAGAAAAUUGUCAAUUUGGUCUGA